rfam:Colletotrichum orbiculare MAFF 240422 contig03997, whole genome shotgun sequence.
GCCCGGCUAGCUCAAUCGGUAGAGCGUGAGACUCUUAAUCUCAAGGUUGUGGGUUCGACCCGUGAGCA